GCAACUCGACUGCGUGAAGGUGGAGUCGCUAGUAAUCGCGGAUCAGCAACGCCGCGGUGAAUGCGUUCCCGGGCCUUGUACACACCGCCCGUCAAGUCAUGAAAGUGGGCAGCACCCGAAGACGGUGGCCUAACCCUUGUGGGGGGAGCCGUCUAAGGUGAGGCUCGUGAUUGGGACUAAGUCGUAACAAGGUACC
rnacentral:rRNA from 1 species